AACGAACGCUGGCGGCAUGCCUAACACAUGCAAGUCGAACGAGACCUUCGGGUCUAGUGGCGCACGGGUGCGUAACGCGUGGGAACCUGCCCUUAGGUUCGGAAUAACUCCCCGAAAGGGGUGCUAAUACCGGCUAAUGUCUUCGGACCAAAGAUUUAUCGCCUUUGGAUGGGCCCGCGUUGGAUUAGCUAGUUGGUAGGGUAAAAGCCUACCAAGGCGACGAUACAUAGCUGGUCUGAGAGGAUGAUCAGCCACACUGGGACUGAGACACGGCCCAGACUCCUACGGGAGGCAGCAGUGGGGAAUAUUGGACAAUGGGCGAAAGCCUGAUCCAGCAAUGCCGCGUGAGUGAUGAAGGCCUUAGGGUUGUAAAGCUCUUUUACCCGGGAUGAUAAUGACAGUACCGGGAGAAUAAGCUCCGGCUAACUCCGUG
rnacentral:rRNA from 1 species